rnacentral:lncRNA from 1 species
GGAAGGCAAGAAGCGACAUCGCUAUGAGGCGGUGACUUUAGAAAUCACUGUACUGACUUUUAAUCACCGCCCUGGUCGCAAGCUAAGUUUUAAGUGUUUUCUGGUUGAUCCAGUACGUUAUUACUUAUCCAAUUUACCGUAGAUCGCUUGUCAUCACACUCCCGGAACAAAAGAUGUGAAGUCUCUUUUACCAACGCCUUAUCUUGCUCCCUUUGGCCCAGGAGAUAAAAUACAGAUUAAUCAGUGGGCUAGCUAGCCCUGGAGGCUCUCUGUGAUGCGACCACAUCCUGAGGUUUUUACAUGACUCAAACCCACAAAACACCCUUCCUGCCCCAUCUCAUCUCCAAUACCCUUUACAAUCCCUGUACCAUUCAUUCCUCCUUGGUUAUCAGAACAGUCUGACCCUUUUCCUGCUUGUGGCAGACCACGUUCCCACUCCAACAUUUGACACGAGAGUAAUGAUAGCUGACACAAAAAGCCCAGGGGUCAGAAGAGACCCAAACUAUCAAGGUAGCUGGCCCGACAACAGGCUCAGGGGGUAAAUGUUUAAUACUAUCAAAACAUCUGCAUCUCUUUUCAGAAAUUUUCAUUAUAGACCCACUGACAGAUACCAAGCGCAGAAGAACAAGGAUGUUUAUGCUAAAUAUCCUAUUCCCUGGGAGAAAAUUAUCAAAAGAGAUGGUAACCUGGAAAUAGCUCAGAUGUCCUGGAUCUUCCAUUCUUCUUUGUGAAGUCAAGCUCCCACCAAUGAGCUGAAUCGUCACCUGUGUCAGGGAGGAAAGACGGAAACCAUCUUUUGCCAAGUGUGCUUGGUAGCUGUGCUGGGGUUCUGUUGUGGCUUGAAUGAGAAUGGCUUCAAUAAGUUCCUAUGUUUUAAUUCUUAGUCCUCAGUUGGUGGGAUCCUUUGGGAAAGAUCAGAACAUGUGGCCUUGUUGAAGCAGGCCUGUCACUGCGGGCAGCUUUGAGGUUUCAGAAGACGUUUGCCUGUUCCCACUGUGCUCUCCGCCUCCUGCCUACUGUUUGAGAUGUGAACUCUCAACCUCUGCUGCUGUGUCUUCACUCUGCCGCUGUGGACUCCAACUCUCUGAAAAUGGAUUCAAGCAGGCAGCCAAGCAUGGCAUUGUUCACAUGGUCCCACUGUGCUCUCUGCCUCCUGCUUGCUGUGUGAGAUGUGAGCCCUCACCUGUUUCUGCCAGCGUGCCUUUGUCCUGCCAUCAUGGAGUAUAGGUUUCUGAAACCAAAA